rnacentral:rRNA from 1 species
GAGGUAAUGGCUCACCAAGGCGACGAUCCGUAACUGGUCUGAGAGGAUGAUCAGUCACACUGGAACUGAGACACGGUCCAGACUCCUACGGGAGGCAGCAGUGGGGAAUAUUGGACAAUGGGCGAAAGCCUGAUCCAGCCAUGCCGCGUGUGUGAAGAAGGUCUUCGGAUUGUAAAGCACUUUAAGUUGGGAGGAAGGGCAGUUACCUAAUACGUGAUUGCUUUGACGUUACCGACAGAAUAAGCACCGGCUAACUCUGUGCCAGCAGCCGCGGUAAUACAGAGGGUGCAAGCGUUAAUCGGAAUUACUGGGCGUAAAGCGCGCGUAGGUGGUUUGUUAAGUUGGAUGUGAAAUCCCCGGGCUCAACCUGGGAACUGCAUUCAAAACUGACUGACUAGAGUAUGGUAGAGGGUGGUGGAAUUUCCUGUGUAGCGGUGAAAUGCGUAGAUAUAGGAAGGAACACCAGUGGCGAAGGCGACCACCUGGACUGAUACU